rnacentral:lncRNA from 1 species
AGCAACUGUUUGGCCCGUUUUGGCCGCCUUCCCGAGCCCGGAUGCUUGGCCCGCUUUGAGGAAAGUCGAUCCUCGCGUCGAGCCCGUCGUUUUGAGUGAGUUUUACUCACUAAUGCCUUCUUAGUGUGCUAAUUAUACUUAAAGGUUGAUUAGUGUUAAUUAAGUGUAAUUAGGUUGUUAGAUUAGAAUUGAUUAGUGAUUAUUAGUUAAUUACAUUGUAUGUUAGUUGUUUGGUUAGUGUAAUUAGAUAGAGAAUUGCUUAUAGUAUUUAUUGGAUGCUUCUUGGGAUUUUUUCCGUCCCUUAUCGGGUGUUAAUUAAGCAAAUCGGGCCUAGGUGGUAUUUUUAGGAAUUAAAUAUUAAUUUUCGAAAUUAAUUAUUUAAUUAUUUAUUUCCUGAAAAUUCAACUGGGGUGGCAAAUGACCGGGAUUUUAUGCUGAUGAUCGUGGCGCAGUCCGUUUAUUUAAUUGAGUUUUAUAUUAUGCUAAAUUGAAUUUAUUGUAUUUAUUUAUUUAAUUUUCGCAAUUAAUUAUUUAAUUAAUUAUUUUCCGGAAAUUCAACCGGGAUGGCCGGUGAUCGGAAUUUCGUGCUGAUUGUCGUGGAGUGGUUCAUUUAUUUAUUUGAGCCUUAAUUUGUGAGAAACUGAUUUAUUAGUGAUUUUAGGAUUUAUUCCUAAAUUGAAUAAUCUUUGGUUAUUAAUUGAAGAAUAACCGGGCAUCGGUUGAUAAUGCCACUACAUAUAGCAUUGCCGAGUGGGGCCGUGAUGCCACUACAUAUAACAUUGCCGAGUGGGGCCGUGAUGCCACUACAUAUAACAUUGCCGAGUGGGGCCGUGAUGCCACUACAUAUAACAUUGCCGAGUGGGGCCGUGAUGCCACUACAUAUAAUAUUGCCGAGUGGGGCCGUGAUGCCACUACAUGUAAAAUUGCCGAGUGGGGCCGUGAUGCCACUAAAUAUUAAAAGUUGCCGAGUGGGGCCGUGAUGCCACUAAAUUUAAGAAAAUUGCUCGGUGGGGCCGUGAUUACCACCUAUAAUUAAGUUGUGUCCUAAGGACCGUGAUUCAUAAUUGGGAAUUGAAUUGGAAUGGUUGAAAUGACCAGAAGUGGUCCUGCUGAUAUAUAAUCGACUAGGUCGAUUGAUCAUUGCCUUGAAUUGAUAUUGUAAAUUGGUUGGAAUAAUGGAAAUGACCGUGAGUGGUCUUGUUGGUAUGUAAUCGACUAGGUCGAUUGAUCAUUGUCUUGAUUUGAUGCGGUGGAUUGAUUGAUUGAAUGGAUAUGACAUUGAGUGGUCUUGUUGGCGUGUAAUCGACUAAGUCGAUUAGAUCGAUGCUUCGAUCUGUGAUGUGAUUGCUUGGGUGUCUAUUUGAUCUGUGCUAAUAUGCAGGUGGAAUCUGAGGCCAAGGUAAGUCCUCUGACUCAUGUUGUGCAUAGACAGCCCUAAGGUGUAUUAGUUUACUAAUCGGGUCUUAGGAGGUAGAACUUGCUGAGACGUUGUCUCAGUGGUUAUUGAAUAACCAUUUCAGGACCUGGAUGAGGAGCCUAAGGAGCAUGAAUCUGACGAGGAGAUCCUUGUUGAGGAACCCGAAGAGGAGUACGUGGAGGAGGACCCCGAGGAUAACCCCGAGUACGACCCGGAUGAGGACUGAGAUCCCGUCCUGUCUUGUCAGACCUUGUUCGCAUGUGAAUAGACGUUAGACCAGAGUUG